rnacentral:misc_RNA from 1 species
UUUCACCUCACACAACCAAUGGUUUUUAAAAGCUGUAAUGGCGCCAAGUGGUUAAUGUGGUAUUGAGUGUAUUCCCACUUGGUAAACGAGAGGGUCACUUGAAAUACUUGGUAGCUUUAUGAGUCCGAUAAUGCUUCGCAUAUUUCGAAAAGCUCAAAGUACCGCUAAGUUUAAGCCUUUACUGGUCACUCUUUAGCUGGGAAAUUUUUGAAAUGAAGUGCUUAUUGACUUUAUACCAAACCUGAUAUUGAAUAGCAGUCGUAGUUACUGUAACUAUUCAAAAUCUUUGAAC